GAUGAACGCUGGCGGUCUGCUUAACACAUGCAAGUCGAACGGACCCUUCGGGGUUAGUGGCGGACGGGUGAGUAACGCGUGAGAAUCUGCCUUCAGGUCUGGGACAACAGAAGGAAACUUCUGCUAAUCCGGGAUGAGCCUUUUGGUAAAAGAGAAAUUGCCUGGAGAUGAGCUCGCGUCUGAUUAGCUAGUUGGUGAGGUAAAAGCUUA
rnacentral:rRNA from 1 species